UACGUAGGGUGCAAGCGUUGUCCGGAAUUAUUGGGCGUAAAGAGCUCGUAGGCGGUCUGUCGCGUCGGCUGUGAAAUCCCGAGGCUCAACCUCGGGUCUGCAGUCGAUACGGGCAAACUUGAGUGUUGCAGGGGAGACUGGAAUUCCUGGUGUGGCGGUGAAAUGCGCAGAUAUCAGGAGGAACACCGGUGGCGAAGGCGGGUCUCUGGGCAACAACUGACGCUGAGGAGCGAAAGCGUGGGGAGCGAACAGG
rnacentral:rRNA from 1 species